CCUUUGGAGCGUCACACCAAACGCAAGUAGAUUCGUCAAAAGCGGACGCGUUGAAUUAGGAA
rnacentral:ncRNA from 1 species